UACGUAGGGGCAAGCGUUGUCCGGAAUCAUUGGGCGUAAAGCGCGUGUAGGCGGUCCGGUAAGUCCGCUGUGAAAGUCGGGGGCUUAACCCUCGGAUGCCGGUGGAUACUGUCGGGCUUGAGUACGGAAGAGGCGAGUGGAAUUCCUGGUGUAGCGGUGAAAUGCGCAGAUAUCAGGAGGAACACCAAUUGUGAAGGCAGCUCGCUGGGACGUUACUGACGCUGAGACGCGAAAGCGUGGGGAGCAAACAGG
rnacentral:rRNA from 1 species